AUACAGAGGGUGCGAGCGUUAAUCGGAAUUACUGGGCGUAAAGCGCGCGUAGGCGGCUUGGUCAGUCGGAUGUGAAAGCCCCGGGCUCAACCUGGGAAUGGCAUUCGAUACUGCCAGGCUAGAGUAUGCGAGAGGGAAGUGGAAUUUCCGGUGUAGCGGUGAAAUGCGUAGAUAUCGGAAGGAACACCAGUGGCGAAGGCGACUUCCUGGCCCAAUACUGACGCUGAGGUGCGAAAGCGUGGGGAGCGAACAGGAUUAGAAACCCUAGUAGUCC
rnacentral:rRNA from 1 species